rnacentral:rRNA from 1 species
GACAGAGGAGGCAAGCGUUGUUCGGAAUCACUGGGCUUAAAGCGGGUGUAGGCGGCUUGGAAAGUGUCGUGUGAAAGCCCUCGGCUCAACCGGGGAACUGCACGGCAAACUGCCUGGCUUGAGGUCGGUAGGGGUGCCUGGAACUCUAGGUGGAGCGGUGAAAUGCGUAGAUAUCUAGAGGAACGCCGGAGGCGAAAGCGGGGCACUGGGCCGAUUCUGACGCUGAGACCCGAAAGCGUGGGGAGCAAACAGGAUUAGAUACCCUGGUAGUCCACGCCGUAAACGAUGCACACUAGGUGUCGGAGAUUCUGAUAUCGUCGGCGCCGAAGGAAAACUACUAAGUGUGCCGCCUGGGGAGUACGGCCGCAAGGCUAAA